rnacentral:rRNA from 1 species
UGCAUUCGAUACUGCGCAGACUUGAGUAUUGUCAGAGGAGACUGGAAUUCCUGGUGUAGCGGUGAAAUGCGCAGAUAUCAGGAGGAACACCGGUGGCGAAGGCGGGUCUCUGGGAAAUAACUGACGCUGAGGAGCGAAAGCGUGGGUAGCGAACAGGAUUAGAUACCCUGGUAGUCCACGCCGUAAACGAUGGGCACUAGGUGUGGGUUUCCUUCCACGGGAUCCGUGCCGUAGCUAACGCAUUAAUCGCCCCGCCUGGGGAGUACGGCCGCAAGGCUAAAACUCAAAGGAAUU